rnacentral:rRNA from 1 species
GUAGGUGGCAAGCGUUGUCCGGAAUUAUUGGGCGUAAAGCACGCGCAGGCGGUUCUUUAAGUCUGAUGUGAAAGCCCACGGCUCAACCGUGGAGGGUCAUUGGAAACUGGAGAACUUGAGUACAGAAGAGGAAAGCGGAAUUCCACGUGUAGCGGUGAAAUGCGUAGAGAUGUGGAGGAACACCAGUGGCGAAGGCGGCUUUCUGGUCUGUAACUGACGCUGAGGCGCGAAAGCGUGGGGAGCAAACAGGAUUAGAUACCCUGGUAGUCCACGCCGUAAACGAUGAGUGCUAAGUGUUAGGGGGGUUUCCGCCCCCCUUAGUGCUGCAGCUAACGCAUUAAGCACUCCGCCUGGGAGUACGGCCGCAAGGCUG